rnacentral:rRNA from 1 species
GAUGAACGCUAGCGGGAGGCUUAACACAUGCAAGUCGAGGGGCAGCAUAGGGUAGCAAUACUCUGAUGGCGACCGGCAAACGGGUGAGUAACGCGUAUGCAACCUACCCUGUACAGGGGGAUAACCCGGAGAAAUUCGGACUAAUAUCCCGUAAUAAUAUCCGGAGGCAUCUUUGGAUAUUUAAAGUUCCGACGGUACGGGAUGGGCAUGCGUAACAUUAGCUGGUUGGUAAGGUAACGGCUUACCAAGGCUAUGAUGUUUAGGGGUCCUGAGAGGGUGGUCCCCCACACUGGUACUGAGACACGGACCAGACUCCUACGGGAGGCAGCAGUGAGGAAUAUUGGUCAAUGGGCGCAAGCCUGAACCAGCCAUCCCGCGUGCAGGAAGACCGGCCCUAUGGGUUCGUAAACUGCUUUUCCAGGGAGAGAAACUUUACGCACGUGUUGCGUGACUGACGGUACCCUGGGAAUAAGCAGUACGGCUAACUCCGUG